GAGUUAGCGAUUAUUAUAAAAGUAAUUCUUCGUUCUGAUUUACUUAAUUUGGACAUGACAAACCUCUUAUUACAACUAUAAAAUCUGAGCUUC
rnacentral:snoRNA from 1 species